rnacentral:rRNA from 1 species
GACGAACGCUGGCGGCGUGCCUAAUACAUGCAAGUCGAACGAGAGCGACCGGUGCUUGCACUGGUCAAUCUAGUGGCGAACGGGUGAGUAACACGUGGGUAACCUGCCCAUCAGAGGGGGAUAACAUCCGGAAACGGAUGCUAAAACCGCAUAGGUCUUCGAACCGCAUGGUUUGAAGAGGAAAAGAGGCGCAAGCUUCUGCUGAUGGAUGGACCCGCGGUGCAUUAGCUAGUUGGUGAGGUAACGGCUCACCAAGGCCGUGAUGCAUAGCCGACCUGAGAGGGUGAUCGGCCACAUUGGGACUGAGACACGGCCCAAACUCCUACGGGAGGCAGCAGUAGGGAAUCUUCCGCAAUGGACGCAAGUCUGACGGAGCAACGCCGCGUGAGUGAAGAAGGUUUUCGGAUCGUAAAACUCUGUUGUUGGAGAAGAACAAGUGCUAGAGUAACUGUUAGCGCCUUGACGGUAGCUAACCAGAAAGCCACGGCUAACUACGUG